rnacentral:rRNA from 1 species
AUUGAACGCUGGCGGCAGGCCUAACACAUGCAAGUCGAACGAGUGGCGGACGGGUGAGUAAUGCUUGGGAAACUGCCUGAUGGAGGGGGAUAACUACUGGAAACGGUAGCUAAUACCGCAUACCAUCGGAUGUGCCCAGUUGGGAUUAGCUAGUUGGUGGGGUAAAGGCUCACCUAGGCGACGAUCCCUAGCUGGUCUGAGAGGAUGACCAGCCAAACUGGAACUGAGACACGGUCCAGACUCCUACGGGAGGCAGCAGUGGGGAAUAUUGCACAAUGGGCGCAAUCCUGAUGCAGCCAUGCCGCGUGUAUGAAGAAGGCCUUCGGGUUGUAAAGUACUUUCAGUGGGGAGGCGUUAACUUCAGAAGAAGCACCGGCUAACUCCGUGCCAGCAGCCGCGGUAAUAC